rnacentral:sRNA from 1 species
AAGUUCCAAAGGCCAUGGGGGAUAUUUUUGAGUCGCUUGCUGGUGCCAUUUACAUGGAUAGUGGGAUGUCACUGGAGACAGUCUGGCAGGUGUACUAUCCCAUGAUGCGGCCGCUAAUAGAAAAGUUUUCUGCAAAUGUACCCCGUUCGCCUGUGCGAGAAUUGCUUGAAAUGGAACCAGAAACUGCCAAAUUUAGCCCGGCCGAGAGAACUUACGACGGGAAGGUCAGAGUCACCGUGGAAGUGGUAGGAAAGGGGAAGUUUAAAGGUGUUGGUCGAAGUUACAGGAUCGCCAAAUCUGCAGCGGCAAGAAGAGCCCUCCGAAGCCUCAAAGCUAAUCAACCUCAGCUGUGGGUCAGUCUUGCACUCCCAUCAACAUACCAGUAGAGGUUUGCUGCAAUUUGCCCCGUUAAUUAUGCUUGAAGUUUAAGAAAGCUGAGCAGAGGUGUCUCAUAUUUCCCAGCACAUGAUUCUGAACUUGAUGCUUCAUGGAAUGCUGCAUUUAUGUGUAAGUGACAUUUGAAUACUGUCCUUCCUGCUUUAUCUGCAUCAUCCACCCACAGAGAAAUGCCUCUGUGCGAGUGCACCGACAGAAAACUGUCAGCUCUGCUUUCUAAGGAACCCUGAGUGAGGGGGGUAUUAAGCUUCUCCAGUGUUUUUUAUUGUCUCCAAUCUUAAACUUAAAUUGAGAU